AUUGAACGCUGGCGGCAGGCCUAACACAUGCAAGUCGAGCGGCAGCGGGAAAGUAGCUUGCUACUUUUGCCGGCGAGCGGCGGACGGGUGAGUAAUGCCUGGGAAAUUGCCCAGUCGAGGGGGAUAACAGUUGGAAACGACUGCUAAUACCGCAUACGCCCUACGGGGGGAAGCAGGGGACUUUCGGGCCUUGCGCGAUUGGUUAUGCCCAGGCGGGAUUAGCUAGUUGGUGAGGUAAUGGCUCACCAAGGCGACGAUCCCUAGCUGGGCUGAGAGGAUGUUCGGCCACACUGGAACUGAGACACGGUCCAGACUCCUACGGGAGGCAGAAGUGGGGAAUAUUGCACAAUGGAGGAAACCCUGAUGCAGCCAUGCCGCGUGUGUGAAGAAGGCCUUCGGGUUGUAAAGCACUUUCAGCGAGGAGGAAAGGUUGAUGCCUAAUACGUAUCAACUGUGACGUUACUCGCAGAAGAAGCACCGGCUAACUCCGUGCCAGCAGCCGCAGUAAGAC
rnacentral:rRNA from 1 species